UAUUUCAGGAUAUUAAGCAGUGUCUUUUCAGAUGAUGUCAUGUAAGUGAUUUAUAUGCAAAAUUGUGAACGUCUAAGUUGUUAUUUCAGGAUUGUCUUCUGAUGGUACAGAAGGUGGAAUUUUGAGAGAAAGAACAAGCCGUUCUUGGAACUCCUUGCUGUCUUUUACCUUGCAACAGAGGCAAGAGAAUUUGUCUGGAGCAUCUGAAACUCGGCUGUCUGAAGAAGACAUGCACCUUUAUAAAGACAGUCAGACACAGCAGGUCUUGGGAAAACAUACUGGGAACUUGAACUCAGAGGACAAUACAUGUUUCCAAGCUCUAGCAGCUGAGCUUUGUUUUCCAGAAAGAGAGAAACAUUUUCCAAACUUCCAUCACCAUCUCUUUCAGCCUUUGGAACCAAGUGUUGACUUUGAUACAUCAUCAUCGUGUUCUCAAUAUGGAAUUUCACAAGACAGCAGAGAAUUUAGCAAGACUUCAAAAUUUUCAACAGAAAGUCCAGACAUGCUUACAUUUCUAGAAGUGGGAGAUGCUGGUCUGAAUGUGCAAAGAAGCAGUCUGCCUUCUUAUCUUGAAACAAACAGGCAAAACAACAUUCCAUCAGAAGAGUCCAUUACAGAAAAUCUUACUCCAGGUAUGUACAGUGUAGUCAGAUCAGUGCUUUCAGAUUCAGCCUGUUGGUAAUGUGUAAAUACCAACCCUUAGGGUGGGUUUGCCAU
rnacentral:lncRNA from 1 species